AUACGGAGGAUCCGAGCGUUAUCCGGAUUUAUUGGGUUUAAAGGGAGCGUAGGUGGAUUGUUAAGUCAGUUGUGAAAGUUUGCGGCUCAACCGUAAAAUUGCAGUUGAAACUGGCAGUCUUGAGUACAGUAGAGGUGGGCGGAAUUCGUGGUGUAGCGGUGAAAUGCUUAGAUAUCACGAAGAACUCAAUUGCGAAGGCAGCUCACUAGACUGUUACUGACACUGAUGCUCGAAAGUGUGGGUAUCAAACAGGAUUAGAUACCCUGGUAGUCCACACAGUAAACGAUGAAUACUCGCUGUUUGCGAUAUACAGUAAGCGGCCAAGCGAAAGCAUUAAGUAAUCCACCUGGGGAGUACGUUCGCAAGAAUGAAACUCAAAGGAAUUGGCGGGG
rnacentral:rRNA from 1 species